UGGGGAAGUCUAAACAAUUUGCUGUCAGUUUGUUGCCUAGGAAAAAAGGGCAUCUCCAACAGAGAGCAGUGCCAAGCCCUUCUGCUACAGGAGAAGUAAUCUACUUCAGAAUAUUCCGAGCCAGCGUAACUGAGUCAUGCUCUUCCUUGGAGACAACAGCACAGUAGAAACACAUGCAAAGGCCUCAGGGCUCUUUGUCUUACUGUAUUCUCACAGCACUCCCUUGCUGUGAAGCUCAACAAAUAAAGUCACUUCAGCUUCCUAUUUAAGACAGGAAAGUUUUUUUAAAAAACACGGACGUUGGCACUUCCUGUGAGUGGUGAAAGGCGACUCCGUCCUCGCCUCGACUCGAGGAUGCAGCAACACAAACUCACAUCCUGCCUCCAUCACCACAGGGAGCUGAAUCCUCGUGAAGGAGGAGCAGAUGUCCCUCAGCAUGCCCUUCAGGAAUUGUUUUACACCUGGAAACCUCACCCAUGGCACGAUGGUGGAACAGGAUGAGUUUUGAGGCCACUCCAACCCAAACCAUUCCAGGAUUCUCUGAGGUGAUGCCAUGACCAGAUGGGAUGAAGCUGUGGAAUACAUGGACAGGUUUAACCCUCUCACUGCCAACAAAAACGUGUUCAGGAGCCAGAUCCAACACAGAGGAGAUUUCUGUCACUUCAGGUUGCACUGGCUACCAAACACAUCAAAAUCCAGGUAAUUCACGUGCCUCAAAAAGAAUAUUAACUGCUCCAAAUCCUAGGUGUCUAGCAGGGGCUUAGUAAAGGAUUUUUUUAAAGACA